GAUGAACGCUAGCGGCAGGCCUAACACAUGCAAGUCGAGCGGGAUCCACCUUCGGGUGGUGAGAGCGGCGCACGGGUGCGUAACACGUAUGCAAUCUACCUUAUACUGGGACAUAACAGCGAGAAAUUGUUGCUAAUUUCCCAUAACACUGAGAAGUGGCAUCACUUUGCAUUUAAAGCUCCGGCGGUAUAAGAUGAGCAUGCGCCCAAUUAGCUAGUUGGUGAGGUAAUGGCUCACCAAGGCUACGAUUGGUAGGGGUUCUGAGAGGAUGAUCCCCCACACUGGUACUGAGACACGGACCAGACUCCUACGGGAGGCAGCAGUGAGGAAUAUUGCGCAAUGGAGGCAACUCUGACGCAGCCAUGCCGCGUGAAGGAUGAAGGUCCUAUGGAUUGUAAACUUCUUUUAUAUGGGAAUAAAAUCUUCUACGUGUAGGAGACUGAAGGUACCAUAAGAAUAAGCACCGGCUAACUCCGUGCCAGCCGCCGCAGUAA
rnacentral:rRNA from 1 species